UCGAACGAGAAAGUUCCCUUCGGGGAACGAGUAAAGUGGCGCACGGGUGAGUAACACGUAGGUAAUCUACCUUCGGGUGGGGAAUAACGCAGGGAAACUUGCGCUAACACCGCAUAAUGCAGCGGCACCACAUGGUGACAGUUGUUAAAGCGGGGGAUUUUCGAACCUCGCGCCUGAAGAGGAGCCUGCGGCAGAUUAGCUAGUUGGUAGGGUAACGGCUUACCAAGGCGACGAUCUGUAACCGGCCUGAGAGGGCGGUCGGUCACACUGACACUGACAUACGGGUCAGACUCCUACGGGAGGCAGCAGUCGGGAAUUUUGGGCAAUGGGCGAAAGCCUGACCCAGCAACGCCGCGUGAAGGAUGAAAUCCCUCGGGAUGUAAACUUCGCAAGAAUGGGAAGAAUGAACGAGCGCUAAUACCGUUCGUGAUGACGGUACCAUUUGUAAGCUCCGGCUAACUCCGUGCCAGCAGCCGCGGUAAUACGGGGGGAGCAAGCGUUGUUCGGAUUUACUGGGCGUAAAGGGCGCGUAGGCGGCCAGCGCAAGUCAGUUGUGAAAUCUCCGGGCUUAACUCGGAAAGGUCAACUGAUACUGCGCGGCUAGAGUGCAGAAGGGGCAACUGGAAUUCUCGGUGUAGCGGUGAAAUGCGUAGAUAUCGAGAGGAACACCUGCGGCGAAGGCGGGUUGCUGGGCUGACACUGACGCUGAGUGCGCGAAAGCCAGGGGAGCGAGCGGGAUUAGAUACCCCGGUAGUCCUGGCCUUAAACGAUGGAUGCUUGGUGUCUGGAGUUUUAUAGU
rnacentral:rRNA from 1 species